GAUGAAGAACGCAGCGAAAUGCGAUACUUGGUGUGAAUUGCAGAAUCCCGUGAACCAUCGAGUCUUUGAACGCAAGUUGCGCCCGAAGCCAUUAGGCCGAGGGCACGCCUGCCUGGGCGUCACACGUCGUUGCCCCCCCAUCUACUCCUUCGGGGUUGCGGGGGGCGGAUGAUGGCCUCCCGUGCGCCUCGCCGCGCGGUUGGCAUAAAUGCCAAGUCCUCGGCGACGCACGCCACGACAAUCGGUGGUUGCGAAACCUCGGUUGCCCGUCGUGUGCGGUCGUCGCGCAUCGAGGGCUCGAAAAAAUUGCCGGGUUCCGGCUCGGCUUUCAACGCGACCCCAGGUCAGGCGGGGUUACCCGCUGAAUUUAAGCAUAUCAAUAAGCGGAGGA
rnacentral:misc_RNA from 1 species